GCCCUAGUAGCUUAGCCCUAUAAAGCAUCGGUCUUGUAAUCCGAAGAUCGAGGGUUAAACCCCCUCCUAGCGCCC
rnacentral:tRNA from 1 species